AUGUAAAGGAUUUCACAGAAACUUGCAUUGUUCUGUCUGAGAGUGAGGAAAGUGCAGUAAAGCGUCUCCUUGAUGAAUUAGUAAUAAAGGUUUCUUCAUAUCAGGAGAAUGAUUUUUGUGGUUAACUACCUUUUGAGGCUUGCG